rnacentral:rRNA from 1 species
UUGGGAAUCUUGGACAAUGGGCGAAAGCCUGAUCCAGCCAUGCCGCGUGAGUGAUGAAGGCCUUAGGGUUGUAAAGCUCUUUUGCCCGGGAAGAUAAUGACUGUACCGGAAGAAUAAGCCCCGGCUAACUUCGUG